CAAUUAUUUUCAAAGAAUGGUAUUUAAUAAUUUUGUUUUUAUUAUAUAUUAGAUGUUGACAAGAUAAUUAUAACAUAUGUAAGGUAUAAAGAAUAAAAUAGCACUGUGUAUCUCUACCAACCAGUUAAGAAACAAACAUAACAAGUAUAUUUGAAAUCUUUCGUAGGACCCUUGCCUACACUUUGCCUGUCCUAACCCUGCCUAAUGACAACUCCUAGAAGCUUAAAUUAUAGAUUUUUAAAUUUAAAGUGAAAACAAUGAUGCUAAUUUUUAAAGUUUCACGCUUUUCUGGUAUUAAGUCAUUUCAGUCAAGAGUCACCAGUUUCUGUCCAGGAACAUCAAAUUUUGGUCAUGGG
rnacentral:lncRNA from 10 species